rnacentral:hammerhead_ribozyme from 1 species
AUCCAGCUGACGAGUCCCAAGUAAGACGAAACGCGUGUCCUGGAU